ACGGAGGCAGCAGUGGGGAAUAUUGGGCAAUGGGCGAAAGCCUGACCCAGCGACGCCGCGUGAGGGAAGAAGGUCUUCGGAUUGUAAACCUCUUUCAGCAGGGAAGGAGCAAGUGACGGUACCUGCAGAAGAAGUCACGGCUAACUACGUGCCAGCAGCCGCGGUAAUACGUAGGUGGCGAGCGUUAUCCGGAAUUACUGGGUGUAAAGGGUGUGUAGGCGGAGAAGCAAGUCAGGCGUGAAAUUUAUGGGCUCAACCCAUAAACUGCGCUUGAAACUGUUUCCCUUGAGAGUGGGAGAGGUAAACGGAAUUCCUGGUGUAGUAGUGAAAUGCGUAGAUAUCAGGAGGAACACCGGUGGCGAAGGCGGUUUACUGGACCACAACUGACGCUGAGACACGAAAGCGUGGGGAGCAAACAGGAUUAGAUACCCUGGUA
rnacentral:rRNA from 1 species